ensembl:misc_RNA Metazoa_SRP Metazoan signal recognition particle RNA
GCUGGGCGUGGUGGCACACGCCUGUAAUCCCAGCUACUCAGGAGGCUGAGGCAGGAGAAUUGCUUGAGCCUGGGAAGCAGAGGUUGCAGUGAGCUGAGAUUGAGCCACUGCACUCCAGCCUAGCUGACAGAGCAAGACUCUGUCUCAA